rnacentral:sRNA from 2 species
UGUGGCUGUCUCCUGGAUUUCGAUGGAAUUGCCUUUUACGAUGCGUAUCACAGAAAUAUUUCAUCAUCUGGUUCAAACUCAUUCUCCCCUCGAACGCCACAAUGGCUUCCUGGAAGAGGAUUUGGAAGCUUGCCCCGCAGAAUAAAAACAUGCAACCGUUAUUUGAUUAUGCGUUGGUGUGUGCCAUCUAGCAUGUGAAUGUCUCUGUGCAGCGGUUGGUUGCCCACACAUCCCUUGGUGGUGGCUGUUGCAAUAUUCCAGAAACAGUAAUUCAAUCGAUAUCUCUGUCCUUGCUCCGCAAGUCUAUCAACUCUUCAAGCGAUCAAAUGGUUAUCUUAGCUUAAGUGAAGUCGGACGGAUAUUCUUGGCGUUCAAGGAACAGUCCAAGAUGGGGAGGGAAGAUACACCAAACCAAUUGUUGAUUCUUUAUUUUUUAUUUAUUUAUCGUUUACGCCUAUAUCUUUUUUCUGCUAAAUAGGAGAGCUGAAAUGGUUAUCAAUAUCAUGCUUAACUCGUGGCUCUUGUUGCACGCAACAAUCUCCAGACCUGGUCUCCACUGAUCACCACCGACGGGAACCAGGAGGAAGCUCCCUUAUCAACCCCUGAUGCCCCGCCUCAUAAUGGUUGAUUCUACAACCAGUUGGUGGAAGCUAACAAUCGGCACC